rnacentral:misc_RNA from 1 species
AGUCGUAACAAGGUAUCCGUAGGUGAACCUGCGGAUGGAUCAUUACCAAAGUGUUCCAUCCCCACCACUUGUGAACUGUAUCUUACUUGGUUGGCGCCGAGUCUGGGGCGUUACUCGCGCUUUGGGCACUGGAGAGCCAGUGGUUUCGGCCACUGGCAAUCCGGGACGUCAGCCAAACACCUUAUAAACAUACUACCCCCAAGAAGAACUAAAGUAUCUUUUAACAAAGAACCUCUGAGACAACUUUUAGCAAUGGAUCUCUAGGCUCUU